rnacentral:rRNA from 1 species
GACGAACGCUGGCGGCGUGCUUAACACAUGCAAGUCGAACGAAGAGCGAUGGAAGCUUGCUUCUAUCAAUCUUAGUGGCGAACGGGUGAGUAACGCGUAAUCAACCUGCCCUUCAGAGGGGGACAACAGUUGGAAACGACUGCUAAUACCGCAUACGAUCUAAUCUCGGCAUCGAGGAUAGAUGAAAGGUGGCCUCUACAUGUAAGCUAUCACUGAAGGAGGGGAUUGCGUCUGAUUAGCUAGUUGGAGGGGUAACGGCCCACCAAGGCGAUGAUCAGUAGACGGUCUGAGAGGAUGAACGGCCACAUUGGGACUGAGACACGGCCCAGACUCCUACGGGAGGCAGCAGUGGGGAAUCUUCCGCAAUGGACGAAAGUCUGACGGAGCAACGCCGCGUGAGCGAUGACGGCCUUCGGGUUGUAAAGCUCUGUUAAUCGGGACGAAAGGCCUUCUUGCGAAUAGUGAGAAGGAUUGACGGUACCGGAAUAGAAAGCCACGGCUAACUACGUG